CGUUGUUCGGAAUUACUGGGCGUAAAGGGCUCGUAGGUGGCCAACUAAGUCAGACGUGAAAUCCCUCGGCUUAACCGGGGAACUGCGUCUGAUACUGGAUGGCUUGAGUUCGGGAGAGGGAUGCGGAAUUCCAGGUGUAGCGGUGAAAUGCGUAGAUAUCUGGAGGAACACCGGUGGCGAAGGCGGCAUCCUGGACCGACACUGACACUGAGGAGCGAAAGCCAGGGGAGCAAACGGG
rnacentral:rRNA from 1 species